UAACUUCGGGAAACCGGAGCUAAUACCGGAUAACAUUUGGAACCGCAUGGUUCUAAAGUGAAAGAUGGUUUUCUAUCACUAUAGAUGGACCCGCGCCGUAUUAGCUAGUUGGUAAGGUAACGGCUUACCAAGGCGACGAUACGUAGCCGACCUGAGAGGGUGAUCGGCCACACUGGAACUGAGACACGGUCCAGACUCCUACGGGAGGCAGCAGUAGGGAAUCUUCCGCAAUGGGCGAAAGCCUGACGGAGCAACGCCGCGUGAGUGAUGAAGGGUUUCGGCUCGUAAAACUCUGUUAUUAGGGAAGAACAAACGUGUAAGUAACUGUGCACGUCUUGACGGUACCUAAUCAGAAAGCCACGGCUAACUACGUGCCAGCAGCCGCGGUAAUACGUAGGUGGCAAGCGUUAUCCGGAAUUAUUGGGCGUAAAGCGCGCGUAGGCGGUUUCUUAAGUCUGAUGUGAAAGCCCACGGCUCAACCGUGGAGGGUCAUUGGAAACUGGGAAACUUGAGUGCAGAAGAGGAAAGUGGAAUUCCAUGUGUAGCGGUGAAAUGCGCAGAGAUAUGGAGGAACACCAGUGGCGAAGGCGACUUUCUGGUCUGUAACUGACGCUGAUGUGCGAAAGCGUGGGGAUCAA
rnacentral:rRNA from 1 species